rnacentral:rRNA from 1 species
ACGGCCAUACCAUGCUGAAUAUACCGGUUCUCGUUAGAUCACCGAAGUCAAGCAUCAUUGGGCGCGGUCAGUACUUGGGUGGGUAACCACCUGAGAACACCGCGUGCCGUU